GGGGCUCUGCACCACGCUCUCCUCAAAGCCGAAUAAUUAUUAGAGCGCGCUUGCAGCGUCUCGCGUUUCUGCAUCCGCGGUAUUUUGCCUUUCCACUGAAAUGAGCAGCU
ensembl:snoRNA Y65B4A.11 ncRNA